rnacentral:rRNA from 1 species
CGAUUAGAGUUUGAUCCUGGCUCAGAACGAACGCUGGCGGCAUGCCUAACACAUGCAAGUCGAACGAUGCCUUCGGGCAUAGUGGCGCACGGGUGCGUAACGCGUGGGAAUCUGCCCUUGGGUUCGGAAUAACAGUUAGAAAUGACUGCUAAUACCGGAUGAUGACGUAAGUCCAAAGAUUUAUCGCCCAAGGAUGAGCCCGCGUAGGAUUAGCUAGUUGGUGGGGUAAAGGCCCACCAAGGCGACGAUCCUUAGCUGGUCUGAGAGGAUGAUCAGCCACACUGGGACUGAGACACGGCCCAGACUCCUACGGGAGGCAGCAGUGGGGAAUAUUGGACAAUGGGCGAAAGCCUGAUCCAGCAAUGCCGCGUGAGUGAUGAAGGCCUUAGGGUUGUAAAGCUCUUUUACCCGGGAUGAUAAUGACAGUACCGGGAGAAUAAGCUCCGGCUAACUCCGUGCCAGCAGCCGCGGUAAUACGGAGGGAGCUAGCGUUGUUCGGAGUUACUGGGCGUAAAGCGCACGUAGGCGGCUUUGUAAGUUAGAGGUGAAAGCCUGNAGCUCAACUCCNNAAUUGCCUUUAANACUGCAUCNCUCGAAUCCA